GUAACGGCGAGUGAAGCGGCAACAGCUCAAAUUUGAAAUCUGGCUCUUUUAGAGUCCGAGUUGUAAUUUGCAGAGGGCGCUUUGGCUUUGGCAGCGGUCCAAGUUCCUUGGAACAGGACGUCACAGAGGGUGAGAAUCCCGUACGUGGUCGCUGGCUAUUGCCGUGUAAAGCCCCUUCGACGAGUCGAGUUGUUUGGGAAUGCAGCUCUAAAUGGGAGGUACAUUUCUUCUAAAGCUAAAUAUUGGCCAGAGACCGAUAGCGCACAAGUAGAGUGAUCGAAAGAUGAAAAGCACUUUGGAAAGAGAGUCAAACAGCACGUGAAAUUGUUGAAAGGGAAGCGCUUGCAGCCAGACUUGCUUACAGUUGCUCAUCCGGGUUUUUACCCGGUGCACUCUUCUGUAGGCAGGCCAGCAUCAGUUUGGGCGGUAGGAUAAAGGUCUCUGUCACGUACCUCCUUUCGGGGAGGCCUUAUAGGGGAGACGACAUACUACCAGCCUGGACUGAGGUCCGCGCAUCUGCUAGGAUGCUGGCGUAAUGGCUGUAAGCGGCCCGUCUUGAAACACGGACCAAGGAGUCUAACAUCUAUGCGAGUGUUUGGGUGUCAAGCCCGAGCGCGUAAUGAAAGUGAACGGAGGUGGGAACCCGCAAGGGUGCACCAUCGACCGAUCCUGAUGUCUUCGGAAGGAUUUGAGUAAGAGCAUGGCUGUUGGGACCCGAAAGAUGGUGAACUAUGCUUGAAUAGGGUGAAGCCAGAGGAAACUCUGGUGGAGGCUCGCAGCGGUUCUGACGUGCAAAUCGAUCGUCAAAUUUGGGCAUAGGGGCGAAAGACUAAUCGAACAUCUUUUACA
rnacentral:rRNA from 1 species